UAUUCCAAUGGAAUAACUCUAGCAGGCUUCGCGUGCAGGGAGCUGGGGACACACCGGGAACAGGUCAGUCUCUGUGGCCGCAGGAUGGCCGUGGCGUCUGCAAGUGUUGAUCACUAUGGAGCACUCCUGCGCCAAGGAUGGGCAGGCACAGAGGAGGUGCUCCAGAGUCUCGGGGUCCCCGCACCUCUUGCAGGCAGGUGACGUGGCGCGGCCCUUGGCGUACAGCCGGGCCGCAGUCCAGGUGCAGCCAGUCCGCAAGCGCAAGAGUGUGGAACGGUCUCUUCUGGAGAGGCCGUUCUCUGGAAGCGGCUUGGGGGCCCUGCCACUAGCCACUCGGGGGUCCGGGUGAACGGAGGAUGGGGGCUCGUGCGGCGCCACCCUUUUAUGCGGCAGUUUCCGUCUGAACGUCCCUCCCCCGUUCUUCAACGAAAAAGAAAAGUGUCUCAACAGUCUCAAGACAAACAAGAUGACUGAAGCUUAGCUCACAAAAGCCAGCAGAGGAAAGGUGAAUGCGGAAAGCCUCAAUGAUACACGGUUGUGAGGAGUGAGAUAACGACGAAACCAGGGAGCGAGAAGAGACACGGGGUGAAGAACAAACUGCGAGACAAUGCGAACAAAGCGCACUCGCACCCGCGAAGCGACUAAAAGUGGGGCGGCGUGAAACACGGAGGCAAGGAGGAGGAGGAGGAGGAGGCAGAGCGUGGCCGAGGCCGGCAGGCGGUGGCCAGAAAUGAAUGGCCGUCAGCGAUGCCUGGCGCAUAUCGCGCGUCCACGCUGGGGCCCCCACCAAGAAGCGACGAUGCUGACCUUCGGUGCCUCCAACGACGCGCGCGCACAGCGCUGGACCAAGAGUCGCCGCCGCCACCACGGCAUGCCGCCAGGCCAGCGGCCGCUCGGCUGUGUGCGUGCAUCGAUCCGCUACGCUUGCUCGCAAAUCAAUGAGUGCCCGCUGCGUUGCUUGGACUGGUGGUGUUGCCGCGUACCCUCUGUACAGUACACGACUGCUCGAGCUUUCUAUCGUGGUUAAAGCUAUUGUUGAUGGC